GAUGAACGCUGGCGGCGUGCCUAAUACAUGCAAGUCGAGCGAACAGACGAGGAGCUUACUCCUCUGACGUUAGCGGCGGACGGGUGAGUAACACGUGGGUAACCUACCUAUAAGACUGGGAUAACUUCGGGAAACCGGAGCUAAUACCGGAUAACAUUUUGAACCGCAUGGUUCUACAGUGAAAGACGGUCUUGCUAUCACUUAUAGAUGGAUCCGCGUCGUAUUAGCUAGUUGGUAAGGUAACGGCUUACCAAGGCAACGAUACGUAGCCGACCUGAGAGGGUGAUCGGCCACACUGGAACUGAGACACGGUCCAGACUCCUACGGGAGGCAGCAGUAGGGAAUCUUCCGCAAUGGGCGAAAGCCUGACGGAGCAACGCCGCGUGAGUGAAGAAGGGCUUCGGAUCGUAAAACUCUGUUAUUAGGGAAGAGCAAAUGUGUAAGUAACUAUGCACGUCUUGACGGUACCUAAUCAGAAAGCCACGGCUAACUACGUG
rnacentral:rRNA from 1 species